GAAAAGCUGAAUCUUGAACAGAGCCUUGAAGAAAGUGCACCCAGCAGCUAUCCUCAAGGCCUUGCAGAAAGCACAGUCCCACUUUGGGGCCCCCUCACUGCUUCUGACACAUUCAGAGCCGUGUGAGAUCACACAAAGCCAUCAGGAAUACCUGCAGUUCCCAACCUGGAGAACUGAAAACAUUCCCCAGCAUGCUGCCAGCGUGAAGAAGCUCUGUAAUUACAGACAUGCAGGGGUUUGUGUUCCUGACCUCGCUCAUCGAUGAAACGCUUCCGUCCCCUUCACUUCCCACGGUGUCUUUAUCAAGGAAGCGGGAAGCUGGGCCCAUCAGAAAAGCUGAGGGUAACUAGAGGAAGCUGAGAAUUCCUCUGCUCUGCUCUGCUCUGCUCUGCCUCGGCAGGAAGAGGGGAAAUGGGAAGGCCAGGGGCUCCCAUUCCAAAGGAGGAAAUGUUCCAGCUCCUCAAAUAAGCCAGCUCCAGAACUCGCCAGCUCCCACCCAGGUCCACUCCAGUUUGGAAACUCCAUGUCUGCUUCCACAGCAGGAACAAAGAUGGACCUCUAUCCUGCCGGUGAGGCCUGCCUCCUGGGGCAGAAGGUACCUACUGUCGCCUCUGGCAGGACCCAGACCCAGGAGCCUCCCAGAGGCCUCCCUCUGCACCACUGCCCCGGGCGGGCCUCGCCUAGAGCCUCCCACCUUCCCGCACAGUCUCCCCUCCUCAUGCAAGAUGCCGGCUGCUGAGACGGGAGGGAUAAACAAACUGUGGCUCUGGCCCAGCCCUCUGCCGGCUGGCUGCUCCCCGCCCCCCUCAAUCCGCAGUGCACAGUCGCUCUGUUCUCCUGCCAACUUGGCAGCUCGUCUCUGCUGUUACUAUCAACACCUCCCAGGGAAGAGGGAGAGGAGUGAGCUCUGAUCGCCUGGCACACCGAGCAGCAAAUUCGUGUCAGAGCCAGCCCCAGAAUGUCUCCCAAGCUCCCAAGGCUCCUGGUGGGGAAGGAAAGGUGGGCCUGAGCAGAGAGGCCCCCACUGCAAGCCAGGCUCCAGCAGAGUGCCUGGGCCUGGCCAAAGCUGCAGCCCCCAGGAGCAGGCAGCUCUGAGAGAAGGGACCGCCAGGCCGGGCAGGUGCACAGGAAGGGGUUCUGUCUCACCCCGGCACUUGCCACAGUCCAAGGCCAUGAAGCCCUGGAGUGCGUGGACUGUACCUCCUUUCUUCCAUCUUUCUCGGACUCAUGCAGAGCUCUUGCCCUCCUUGUCAGAUUGGAUUGGGAAGCCCAAAGGGGCCACAUUUUACCCCCAAAUGGAAACUUCUCGCAGACAGAAACCAUAUUUCCUUUUCCCAACCCUCUUCCCCAGGCUCUUACACCCUGCCUAGUUGGCUCCAUAAAGCAGCUGAUACCCUUCUCAGCUCCUGCUGGACUCCUGGGGCCCAGUUAGGAAGAAGAAAGAACCCAUAUUUCCAGGGGCCCAGUGCUCCACCUCAAGCAAGGUCCACUCACAGUACAGGACUGGGGGUGGUCACUGUGUGGCCUCUCCCAGGAGGCAUGGCCUUCUUAGCUUUGUCACUGCUCGUGAAGGGAAGACCUUUGUGCCCUGCUUUGGGCACCAGCAAAAGUGGUAGGUUCAGGGGAAACUUCCUAACGCUCACACCACUCAGUCAGCUAGUCUACCCAAGGAUGAGUUAUAUGCUCCCAAUCUUUAUGUGCUACCAGCCUGUCUCCUCCUCUGUAACGCAGCAAUGACCUUUCAUAACUCACUGGGUUCUAGCUGAUGGUGAUAAAGACACAAAGACGAUGCUUAUACUUCUAGGGGUGCACCUGGCACUUGGAAUCAGUAUGUUUUCCUUCCUUCUUUCCUAUCUUUCUACCUUCCUUCCUUUCUCCCUUCCUCCCUCCCCCAUUCCUUCCUUCUUUCCUUCCUUCCUUCCUUCCUUCCUUCCUUCCUUCCUUCCCUCAUUUCUUUCUCUGCUCCUUCCAGGACCCCGUCUCCCAAAUGUGAAGCCAAUCCUAAGACCAUCUCCAUUCCCUGCUCCAAAAAAAGUCUAGAAACUACCACCAGGAGAGAUAUAGCCAUUUCCUGGUAGGAACUCCCUAGGUCCCAGAGGGCCAGCUGGCUUUCCAUGGCCAGGAAACAGGAAAAGAGAAUUCAUUCAGUGGGCUGGGAUGUAAAUAAUCCAUAAAAGGCUGCACCAUUCUAGGCUGCACCUGUGAGCAUCCCUCGGCUGAAGCCCUGUCAGCGUUUCCAUGACAAACUCGUAUUUCUGGAUGCCUCUCUUCCAGCUUCAAGAGCAUGCCUUGUGCUGAGACUUGACACUGAUAAUGCUUUCAUGUUUUUUUCCCCUUAAAAAAGAUUGCACACUCUAAAAAUCCACCUGCUCAUUAUAUGUGUUUGCUUUUCA